rnacentral:rRNA from 1 species
GGUAACGACCACACCACGUUGAAAGCACCAGUUCUCGUCCGAUCACUGAAGUUAAGCAACGUCGGGCGCGGUUAGUACUUGGAUGGGUGACCGCCUGGGAACCCCGCGUGUCGUUACCUUUU